rnacentral:lncRNA from 1 species
UAGACGAAAAUGUAAUCGAAACUGUUGACCAGCCAAGCCCACUUCACCCCAUCUUAGAACCAUCAUUACAGAGAAAGGACUUUUGGUGACAAUGAUUCUUCAUUCACUUUAAAUACAGAAGAAUUGCCAGGACCCUCAACUGCACAAUCUUCAACAUCCCUG